UCUUUCUCUCUCCCAAAUAAAGGAAUGAAAUCUUUAAAUAAAUAAAUAGAUUUUUAAAAUAUAAAGAUCCCAGUUGCAAAAGGUAUGGAAAAUAAGCUGAUGACAAAAUACUUGUUUUCAUAUAAACAUGAUUCAUAUUCUAAGUUGGUGCUAGUGGUCUUUUCUUGUCUUUUCUCUUCUUUAUUUAGCUGUAAGUGAAAGUGCCCAGCAUAAACUCAGGUUCAUGUGAUCUUUAGUAAAAAUACAUACAUUUUUAGUGACUAAAGGAGGGAUUACAGUUUUUGAAAUAUUUUGUAGUUCAUUCCUUGCAUAACUUGUAAACAGUAAAAGGACUCUCACUCCUUUGGAAAGUAUAUUUUACAAGACUAUGGGUUGUCAUUUGGUCCACUGGUUUAUUCUCCAGAGAACCUGGACUAGGCAUUUUUUUCCAGUAUGCCUAACGCUCCUUACUUAUAACUAGUGAAAAUAUUGUGAUGUGUUAAUUUUAUUUAACACCAGUGUUCCUUUAUGACAAGUAGCCCAAACACAGAAGUUUAAAUUACAGUUGAUUUGUAUUUUAAAGCUAAAUUUUUCAAAGACAUGGAGAAUCAAGUUGUUUUUUAAUUCACUAAACUUUAGUCCCUGCAGGAACUCAAUGACUAUUCCCCUCCUUCCUGAUUUCCAGUAUGAUUCAUUUUAAUGUAUUAUUAACUUCAUUUACCUACAUUCCUGUUGAAGACUACAAUAUUACCACAUAAGCCAAUCAAAUUUAAUGAGAAAGACUUCAGAGAACACUAUCAAAUAUAUCACCAUACUCAAGCUAGGUGAUGCAUCCUGGCCUUCUUUAAUAUCCUAAUGUAAUGAGUCUAUAAAACACAACAAUCCCUUUCAUGUCACUUGAGUAAUGAUAACAAUUUGGACUUACAUGAGACCUUGGUGUUUAUUGAAACAUUGAUUUCAUACAGAAUGAUGAGUGCUCGUAAUAUAAGUUGGGUUUUCAUUUCUGACUACAUUCUUAGGGAAAAUGGAAUAAGAGCAUCACAUCAUUCCUCUGCUUCACUUUAGUAUCCUCACCGAUAAAAUGAGGAUGCUAAGAGUGGACAUGCCUUCUUUGAUUUUUCAGCAAAGUAACAUAAAAGAAUGCCCUUCAUAGAAAAAGUUUUCUGUGUGUGCCAAAAUAACAUUUUAGCAUGCUAGCCAGCUUAAGGAAAUAUGGAACAGAUAGUUGCAUGGGUAAUGGUGUGAAAAGCUGCACCCCAACAUCAGUGUACUCCUUAUGUAUGCGCUUGAAAUGCCAUGGUCGGCGGACUCCAUCCCAGCUUUGUCCCCAGCUCUCCCUAAUCUCCCUCCCUGCCAAGAACACAGGAAACCCUAUUUGCUCUGCAGUUAAUGACCUAUACCAUCCACUUACUUGAGGGAUCUCAGGUUUUCUUCAGUCAAAUUUACCCACUUAUUCAUUAAUCUUUUUUUUCAAUACCUAGUUUGUCCUGGGCACCAUAAGUGCAGUUGAGUACACAUGGGUGAGUCUAGUGGGGAUCCUGCCUCCAAAAGGUUUAGUUGUGAAGCUCAGACAUGUAUAUGACAUAAGAUAUACAAUACUUAGUGGCAGAGCAGAAAACACGGUGGCAGUGAAAAGAGAAAUUAUUCCAAGUUAGAAAAUUAAGGAAGUCUUCAUGAAAGAAAUCACAACUGAUGAAGACUUGAAGAAAGAUGGCUCUGGAGCCGCAAGGACUCCCAGCCAGCCAUCCACCUCCAUCUUCCUAAUAGUUGCCCUGGAAGGUUGGGAACUAUCUAACCCAUGGAAGUUCUAACCCAGAGAAGAAUCCCUCUUGCAAAAGACCUAGAUGUCCCUGCCUCUCAAUUUUAUGAAAAAUCCAGGCAAAAUUUGAGGUUCCUGGUAUACCCUUCGGCUUUUCCUGACCAUGUCUACCUUUCAGUGGAGAAUUGGAUAAAUAAGCCAAGCCUUCAUUUGGCCACUGGUAUCAACAGUCUUGUAUCACUACCAAGAUGACGUGAGCCAAGAUAUGCAAAGAAAACUGAAAGGAGACUUCCAGUAUGUCUGAGAGCAUCAUGUCUGGCAGUAAGGCCUUGCACGGCCAUGUGGAUCCCUCUGCGUUCCCCCGAUACGCUUUGUUUUUCCACUGUGUACUGUUAUAGAAAGCAUUAUUUGGAACUAAAAGAUAGAGUCCACUUGUCUGGUUAGAUCCUACCCCAAAUUUUCCUUUCAUUUGGGCAUCCAGUGAAAAUCUUUAAGUGUACAAAUAAGAUAGUAAUAAAAGCUGGAAACGGAACAAGACAGGUGACAUUUUGGGUCACUGAACUAUGGAUGAAUUGAUCUGGAAUUCUUGUACCCAUAUUACUCCUUCCCCCAUUUCCCUAUCCCCAAAUUCCUUCUGAAUAUAGAAGGAAUUUUAUUUAAGAAUUAUUUCUUCUAGAGAGAGAGCAGUGGAGAGAGAGGGAGAGAGAGUCUUAAGCAGACUUUGUGCUGAGCAUGAAGACCCUGAGAUCAUGACCCUGAGCCAGAACCAAGAGUCGGAUGCUUAACCAACUGUGCCACCCAGGUGCCCUGACAGAAGGAGUUUUAAACAAGCUCUUGGCCAUUACUCAAUUGAUAGAGUACUCGAAUUAUUUAGACAAUGUUUAAAUGCCAUCCUUUAAAUGUAAGCUUAACUCCUUGGAACUCCAUUCUGGAAUAAUGAAAAAGCACAUCAUCUUCAUAAGAAAAUACUGGAGACUUUACCACAGAACAGGAGUAAAAAUAAAGAUCUUGAGAAGGAAUGGCAAAAUGAUCCUGUGACAACUCCCAGGAUGAUGAACUGAACUGACCCUCUUUCAGCAUCUCGUAACUUGAGACUUGGGCUGAAAUCCAACAUGUAAGAAAUGUAGUAGAGUGCAGACUCCCUUCCUAAUCUUUUUUAAAAUGAGCUGCCAAAAUCCCAUGUCUUACGUAAAGUCUGUAACUACAGUCUACCUGCGAAUGACACAAGAAUUAUGUCAUAAAAUUAAAAUGGAAUUGAAAACAUAAAUAAUUGAAAAAUAAAUAUUUUCCAAAUACC